CCUACGGGAGGCAGCAGUGAGGAAUAUUGGUCAAUGGACGAGAGUCUGAACCAGCCAAGUAGCGUGAAGGAUGACUGCCCUAUGGGUUGUAAACUUCUUUUAUAAAGGAAUAAAACGAGGCACGUGUGCCUUUUUGCAUGUACUUUAUGAAUAAGGAUCGGCUAACUCCGUGCCAGCAGCCGCGGUAAUACGGAGGAUCCGAGCGUUAUCCGGAUUUAUUGGGUUUAAAGGGAGCGUAGAUGGGUUGUUAAGUCAGUUGUGAAAGUUUGCGGCUCAACCGUAAAAUUGCAAUUGAUACUGGCAGUCUUGAGUACAGUUGAGGUAGGCGGAAUUCGUGGUGUAGCGGUGGAAUGCUUAGAUAUCACGAAGAACCCCGAUUGCGAAGGCAGCUUACUAAACUGUGACUGACAUUGAUGCUCGAAAGUGUGGGUAUCAAACAGGAUUAGAUACCCUAGUAGUC
rnacentral:rRNA from 1 species